UACAGAGGUCUCAAGCGUUGUUCGGAUUCAUUGGGCGUAAAGGGUGCGCAGGCCGCGCGGGCAGUCAAAUGUGUAAUUCAGGGGCUCAACCCCUGCACUGCGCUUGAUACUUCCGCGCUAGAACUUUGGAGAGGAGUCUGGAAUUCUCGGUGUAGCAGUGAAAUGCGUGGAUAUCGAGAAGAACACUAAGGGCGUAAGCAAGACUCUAGACAAAUGUUGACGCUCAUGCACGAAGGCUAGGGGAGCGAACGGG
rnacentral:rRNA from 1 species